UAGCGUAGGGGGCAAGCGUUGUCCGGAUUUAUUGGGCGUAAAGAGCGUGUAGGCGGCCAGGUAGGUCUGCUGUGAAAACUCGAGGCUUAACCUCGAGCUGUCGGCGGAAACCAUCUGGCGUAGAGUCCGGAAGAGGAGAAUGGAAUUCCCGGUGUAGCGGUGAAAUGCGUAGAUAUCCGGAAGAACACCAAAGGCGAAGGCAGUGUCCUGGCUGGUACCUGACGCUCAGGUGCGAAAGCUAGGGGGAGCGAAACGGG
rnacentral:rRNA from 1 species